GUUGUAGCUCAAUUGGUAGAGCGUCGGACUGUGGAUCCGGAUGUUGCGGGUUCGAUCCCCGCCAG
rnacentral:tRNA from 1 species